rnacentral:rRNA from 1 species
CCUACGGGAGGCAGCAGUAGGGAAUAUUGGGCAAUGGAGGCAACUCUGACCCAGCCAUGCCGCGUGCAGGAUGAAGGCGUUAUGCGUUGUAAACUGCUUUUAUAUAGGAAGAAAUAGACCUUGCGAGGUAAGUUGACGGUACUAUAUGAAUAAGCACCGGCUAACUCCGUGCCAGCAGCCGCGGUAAUACGGAGGGUGCAAGCGUUGUCCGGAUUUAUUGGGUUUAAAGGGUGCGUAGGCGGUUUAUUAAGUCAGUGGUGAAAGACGGUCGCUCAACGAUUGCAGUGCCAUUGAUACUGGUAGACUUGAGUGUGAUUGAGGUAGCUGGAAUGGAUAGUGUAGCGGUGAAAUGCAUAGAUAUUAUCCAGAACACCAAUUGCGUAGGCAAGUUACUAAGUCACAACUGACGCUGAGGCACGAAAGUGUGGGUAUCAAACAGGAUUAGAUACCCUGGUAGUCCACACUGUAAACGAUGAUAACUAACUGUUGGCUUUUGGGUCAGUGGUACAGAGAAAUCGUUAAGUUAUCCACCUGGGGAGUACGCGGCAACGGUGAAACUCAAAGAUAGUACGCGNGAGAGAGACGACGACGACGACGAGGAGGGAGG